ensembl:lncRNA
CCCAGGGUGUGAGGGAUUUUCUUGGGCAUCCACCAAGGGCAGGCACAAAGCACCCUGUUCUCGGGCAGAAAGAAGGGGAGCUCCCAGCGUCGCAGCUGGUGACAAGCAGCUCCAAAUGGCACCUUCCUUGCCAAUGGAAAGGUACAGAGGUGGAGCAGGCAGCGGGAUGGCCUCUGAGCAAUUCCCCGGUCUAUACUCCACCCUGACAGGAGCUCCUGGUUUUGGAGGCACGAACAUCCUUACCAAGCUGUGUCCAGGCUGUGAUGCUAACAUUAGACAACAGAGAGGUGACUCAGUCCUUUCAGUACAUGUUUCCGUGUUCCCAGCUGCUGUAGGAAAUAAACAUCUUACCACCCAGGCUCUGCAAGGACCAAGAUAACGGCAAAAAUGAGGCCAGCAGAGAUGACCAUCUUUACAGACUCCCACGGCACCCAGCAUGACCCAUUAAAAAUCAGCUCCAGACCGGGCGGAAGAAAAACCUACUGCCAAAAAGGGAAUAAAACUGUUUCCCACCCCCUGCUUGGCCGUGAAAAUGCUUCCAAAGAAGAGGCAAGAG